rnacentral:tmRNA from 1 species
GGGGAUGACUGGUUUCGACGGGAAGCGCUCUUUUAAAACCGCAAGCCUUCUUUAAGCAAAAGAAGUAAAACAGGCUUAAAAAGAUAAAUGCUGAUAAAGAAGUCAGUGAUUCCUAUGCGGUGAAUUUUGGCGUAAAUUUCGCCUCUCCCGCUUACGCAGUAGCGUAAAAAAUAGGCAUUCCUAAGAUUUUUUGCUUGCCGGAAACUUAGGGGUGUAAACAGAGACAAGACGCGAGCAUUUGGUUAGCCAACGCCAUAUGCCCAAGAUUAAAGUUUGGCAGACUUUAGUUUUCCCGACUAACGGAUCAGACUAAAGAUAAAAAAAGUUAGUCUAAGCUUGUAGAAGUUUUGAAAUUGCCUUUUCGGAUUCCGGUUCAACUCCGGACAUCUCCACCA